rnacentral:rRNA from 1 species
UACAGAGGGGGCAAGCGUUGUUCGGAAUUACUGGGCGUAAAGGGCGCGUAGGCGGCCUUCUAAGUCAUGCGUGAAAUCCCCGGGCUCAACCCGGGAACUGCGUCUGAUAUUGGAAGGCUUGAAUCCGGGAGAGGGAUGCGGAAUUCCAGGUGUAGCGGUGAAAUGCGUAGAUAUCUGGAGGAACACCGGUGGCGAAGGCGGCAUCCUGGACCGGCAUUGACGCUGAGGCGCGAAAGCUAGGGGAGCAAACGGG